GUUCCUACGGGACGCAGCAGUGGGGAAUAUUGCACAAUGGGGGGAACCCUGAUGCAGCGACGCCGCGUGAGUGAAGAAGUAUUUCGGUAUGUAAAGCUCUAUCAGCAGGGAAGAAAAUGACGGUACCUGACUAAGAAGCCCCGGCUAACUACGUGCCAGCAGCCGCGGUAAUACGUAGGGGGCAAGCGUUAUCCGGAUUUACUGGGUGUAAAGGGAGCGUAGACGGUUAUGCAAGGCGGAAGUGAAAGCCCAAGGCUCAACCAUGGGACUGCGUUGGAAACUGUAAAACUGGAUGUC
rnacentral:rRNA from 1 species